AAGAAGAACUGUUGGGUCCCAAGGAAUUUUUUUUUAAGGGUUAAUUGCAUGUAUGUUCCUGCAAACAGGAUGGAUUGCAGAUAUAUUCCUACAAAGCUCAACUUUCAUAAAUUAUUCCUACAAAUGUCAUAAUGUAUUCAGAUAUAUUUCUGAUGUUAGAAUCCGUUAGAAAUAUUUAGUUAACCACGGUUAAAAUACUUAAUCAUAAUUGAUUAAUAAAGUAAAUUGACAAUUUUGUCAUUCUUCCUCUUCCUCUUCAUCUUCCCUCUUCCUCUUUCUCUUCUUCUUCUUCUUCCUCCUUUUCUUGCCCUUCUUCCUCCUUUUCCUUUUCCUCCUCUUUCUUCGAAUCGGUAGCACCUUCGCUCUCCGCCUCGUCGUUGCGAGCCUCAGCCUCAUCCUCGUCGGCCGCAACUCCGACAAGCUCCGCAACGUCGCCGCCGCCGCCGUCGCCACCGCCCGCUCCGGUAGCCUGAAAAGGAAGAGAAAAGGGAAAAGAAACAUUUGUGAGGGCAUUUUUGCAAACAUAUACCAGUUGGAGCUUUUGAAGGGACAUAUUUGUGAGGAUAAAAAUGUCAUUUCACAAAUACACCGUUAAAAAAUUAACAGUUCUCUAACGGAUCCUAACCAGAGAGACAUAUCUGAAUACAUUAGGACUUUUGCAGGAAUAACUUAUGAAAAUUACCAACCGUUCCUAGAGCAAGUGGCAAAGAGCUUGGUGGUUGGUACUCGAGACCCAAAUUCGAAUUCUAGUUUAUUCACAUUUCUAGCUAAGUUUAUUUCUAAAUGAAAUAAACGAAGCGAGUAACGUGCUACCUAUCUCUAAAAAAAAAAAUUUAUGAAAAUUGAACUUUGUAGGAAUAUAUAUCUAUAAUUUACUACGUUUGCGGAAACAUGUAUGUAAUUAAUUAACCCUUUUUUAAAAUACAACACUUAUAUUACUAAUGUGAUAAUCACAAUCAAUCAAAAUACUUUUUCUAUAAUUUGCUCAUCACAUAAUAUUUUUUAAAAAAAUAUUUGAACUGAUUAAAAAUAUUAUAUCAGUAAUAUAAGUGUUAUAUUAUAAUUUAUUAUUAUUAUUAUCGUUGGAGGGGGGUUUUAAUUAGAAGAGUUUGUAAUUAAG
rnacentral:lncRNA from 1 species